GAACGCCUGGAAGAGAGUCCAAGGUCACAGCUUUGGGUUUGUUUGUUUGUUUUUCUUUACUUUCUCUUAGUCUUUUUCCAAACUCCGUGUCCAUCUGAAACCACCUUAGCUACAGUGGUUUAUUUAGUAUACAUUUCAGUCCCCUAAAUACAGAUUUUUUUUCCCCAUGAACAAAACAAACAACCAAACAUUACAUCCCAAAUCAGUAUGUCAAAAGAUGCAUGUUAAAUUAACACUUCAUUAACACCCACAUUCCUGCUAGCAAAAGGCAGCUUUUCUGAAGUCCCCUUGGAUGGCAUGUGACUGGUAUAUUUUAACAGAGUUGUACUCAUCCAGAUGAGUGGAGGAGGGGGUAUAGAUGCCAGAGUAGAUACCAGGUACUGAAGGAUUAAAAAUUAAUAAUAAGCCGCCUAGCUACCCAAAAAGAAGAGGUAGGGUCUGUGAGAACAUGAACUUUUCACCCCUCCCUUGCUGUACAAUGGUUCCUGGAACAUUCUUGCAUGAAAAGUUUCCUGGAACAGCCACAAUGACCCAUAGCCUCCGGCCACAAUGGUCCAAUGGCCCUGAAAAUGUCACUACCCCUAAUCACAAUGUCACAAAGUCCUGGGUGUGUUGCCUAGUGUUACACAUGACUAGCAUAUGACCUAAAUGUAUGGGCAGUUUGUGGUUUUGGAAUUCCCCUCCUCCCUCCCUCUUGAUCCCCCUGGUUUGUGGUUUUUUCCUUUAUAAGCUCUGUGAAAAUUCAGGUCGGGGUCGAACUCCUCUACUCCCUGUGUGGUGUAUGAGUCUCGACCCCAGCAUGCUGGCCUGAGCUCUCGUUUCAUCUCGCUCACAAUAAAUCUUCCUCGUGUGAUUACAGCAGGUCGGUGUCUGUGUCCUACUGGGUGCGCGUCUUUCCCGAGACUUGAGUGGGGGGCUCCCUUCGGGGGUCUUUCAUUUGGGGGCUCGUCCGGGAUCUGCGCGACCACCCAGGGGUCCUAGACCCACUUGGAGGUAAGAUUCUCUGUUUUAUCUCAGCGCUGUGUCUGGGUCUGUGUCUAUGUUCUGUCUGGGAAUCUGGUGCGAUCGCUGUUUCGGUUUUGCGGACGCUCAGUGAGACCGCGCUCCAGGAAGGAGAGCGGGGUGGAUAGGGAUAGACGUGUCCAGGUACCCACCGUCCGUUCGCCCUGGGAGACGUCCCAGGAGGACAAGGGGGGACCAGGGACGCCUGGUGAACCCCAUCUGAUAGGUCCAGAGGAGACUUUACUCCUUGACGACCGGUUUGUUAGGCAAGGUCUGCGACCUGCCGAUCAGUUUCAGUGCCUCUGGUCGACACGAAGUCGACGUCGGUUUUGUUUUUUUUUUUUUUUCUCUUUUGUUUGUGCUCGUGUGUGUGAGUGUGUGUGAAUUAAGUCCUGUAGUCUGUGUUUUUCGGUACCGGUUUAAGGUCUUAGUGCACUGUCUGGGCAGAUGAAGGAUUCCUGCCCUGUGCACGAGAGUCUUAGUGCACUGUCUGGGCAGAAGAAGGUUUCCUGCCCUGUGCACGGGUGGAAGAAGGUUCCCCACCCCGAAAUGGCGCCUGUGAGUAGAUGAAGGAUUCCUACUCCGAAUAGUCUUUUUCUUUCUUUUUUUCCUUUUUAGAAAGCGCACCGGGGGACGCCCCAAUCGCGCAGGCUCUGGGACUCGUGAGAGACGUUCCACGAGUCAGCCUUUGUUGGGUCCUGGCUCUGGGACGCGUGAGAAACGUUCCACGAGCCGAAUUUUGUCGGGAGGACCCGGCAACGGGCAGUCAAAAAGAUCUGACUGUGACUUUGGAGGUCAUGUUCGGCUGCCUAUUUAAGUAUAGGCACGGACAAGUGUGCUUAGAUGUGUUAGUGUCUGUUGUCUGUAUUCUGUUUCUGUGUUUGGUAUCCCGGAAGCAGCUAAGGUUAAGCUGCAGUUUGGGCCAGGUACUGAAGGUACCAGGCAUCUGUGGAAAUUGGUUAUAGGAUGCUUUGUCUUGGUCUUGUUUGUCUGGAUUGUUUUCUGUGGUAUUGUCCAGUGUUUUUUUUGACUUUUGUUUCGUGUUUGAAUUUGGACUGACGACCGUGUUUAAAAUCUUGGACUGACGACUGUGUUUGAAAUCAUGAAACUGUUUGCUUUGUUCGUCGAAGAGUUUUACUUGGUCCCCUUAACGCUUAGUGAGUAAGAAACUUAAUUUUGUAGACCCCGCUCUAGUGGCAGUGUGUUGGUUGAUAGCCAAAGUUAAUUUUUAAAACAUAGUGUUUUGGGGGUUGGGGAUUUAGCUCAGUGGUAGAGCUCUUGCCUAGCAAGCGCAAGGCCCUGGGUUCGGUCCCCAGCUCUGAAAAAAGGAAAGAAAAACAAAACAAAAACAUAGUGUUUUAUCUGUGCUUAUGCUCGCAGCCAGCUGUGAUGAACUGGGAAAGAUUUAAAUUUUGCUUGGGAGCAAAGAAUCUUAAAGGCGGAGUUUCAGCCGGUAUGACACUUAGUGCUUAGCUGCCUAAAAGAUCAGAAAUGCUGUCAACAGGCUAUAAAAAAGGGACAGGCUGUGUUAAAAAUGCUACAUGAAGAAUAAUCUAAAAAGGCUGAGAGCUAGGUGGGGCUAUAAGGAAAACAAGAACAGGAAAGGAAUUUCUGACAUUUGCUCACAGAAGGAGAGUGCUCAUUUAGAGAAGUUCUUUAAGGAAGCCUGCCUUAUCUGCUGUCUUUAUUCCAAGGGAGGAGUCAGUCUCCAGCACUAAAUUACUUGGAGGUGGCCAAGGUCAGGAUUAAUGUUUUCUUUUCCUUGGCCCCUUUAAACCCAGUGAGACAGUUUGGUAAAGGGCUACUACUGAGGUCCUGAUAGCCCCAGGUGAACUGGUUACAAUUCUUUUAUCAGCCCCCUGGCAUCUAGCACCCAGGUUCUAACCAUCUCUCCAUCCUUUUGUUAUUAGUUGUUACUAGAAGCCUAGUGUCAUUUGGAGGCUGGUUCUCUUGAGAGGCAAAGCCAUGGAGCUGACACUGACAAUGGCCUUUUUGUUCCAAGAAAGGCCUCCUGGUUUAGCUGUGUGACUAAAUGCUGUUUGCCCUCUUCGGUAGACUCUAUUCUCAAGAUUCUCUUGUUUUCUCACCAUCCCAUUUGAUAUGCUUGUUAGUAACUGUUACAGGUCUUCUUUACCACCGAUGAAAGACGGAAUCCUACUGGAGACCAGAAAAAAAUGUUCCAGACACGGAUAGAAGGCCCUCACUUCUGCCUGCUCUCUUCAGACGCCUGAAGGCUAAAAGACCUACAGGUGAUACAGAAAGAAAUCUGCUCACAGCUGACAGCAGCCUAUGCCCCGGAGACCCCUGAGACAUCCCAUCAGUUCCAGGUUGCAGCUACACUGAGUCCAGACACUCGAGCCUCGCUGGAAAGGACCGUACCUGGUGCUGCUGACCACCCUGACAGCUGUCAAUUCUCAGCCCUCACCAGCCGUGUACUAGCUGUUGGGGCUGAGAGCUGGGACCUAGAGGGAAAUUCAGUCAUGUUUGUCCUGGGUUCUAUCAAGAUAGGUGUGGGAUAGGCUUGAUUUCCAUUACAAAUGAUGUAACAUUGCAUAUGUUAGUACUCUUAACACUUCUUGGGACUGUGCCUCAGGGAUCACAGUCCGUAUAAGCUUAGAAGUUCUAAAAGCUAGUCAUGACCUUGGUGGAUAGGCUUGGAUAGUGUCCAGGUUAGAAUCCUCAUGUUAAGACUACAAUACCAAGCUGUUAUGCUAGAUGAAGCUGAGUUCUCCAUGAAGUUCUAGGAUUAGAACUAUUAACAAAAAGAAGAAGUGGGGAAUGAAGGAUUAAAAAUUAAUAAUAAGCCGCCUAGCUACCCAAAAAGAAGAGGUAGGGUCUGUGAGAACAUGAACUUUUCACCCCUCCCUUGCUGUACAAUGGUUCCUGGAACAUUCUUGCAUGAAAAGUUUCCUGGAACAGCCACAAUGACCCAUAGCCUCCGGCCACAAUGGUCCAAUGGCCCUGAAAAUGUCACUACCCCUAAUCACAAUGUCACAAAGUCCUGGGUGUGUUGCCUAGUGUUACACAUGACUAGCAUAUGACCUAAAUGUAUGGGCAGUUUGUGGUUUUGGAAUUCCCCUCCUCCCUCCCUCUUGAUCCCCCUGGUUUGUGGUUUUUUCCUUUAUAAGCUCUGUGAAAAUUCAGGUCGGGGUCGAACUCCUCUACUCCCUGUGUGGUGUAUGAGUCUCGACCCCAGCAUGCUGGCCUGAGCUCUCGUUUCAUCUCGCUCACAAUAAAUCUUCCUCGUGUGAUUACA